rnacentral:rRNA from 1 species
GACGAACGCUGGCGGCGUGCUUAACACAUGCAAGUCGAACGGAAAGGCCCGGCUUUUGUGGGGUGCGCGAGUGGCGAACGGGUGAGUAACACGUGAGUAACCUGCCCUUGACUUUGGGAUAACUUCAGGAAACUGGGGCUAAUACCGGAUAGGAGCUCCUGCUGCAUGGUGGGGGUUGGAAAGUUUCGGCGGUUGGGGAUGGACUCGCGGCUUAUCAGCUUGUUGGUGGGGUAGUGGCUUACCAAGGCUUUGACGGGUAGCCGGGCUGAGAGGGUGAGCGGCCACAUUGGGACUGAGAUACGGCACAGACUCCUACGGGAGGCAGCAGUGGAGAAUAUUGCACAAUGGGCGGAAGCCUGAUGCAGCAACGCCGCGUGCGGGAUAACGGCCUUCGGGUUGUAAACCGCUUUCGCCUGUGACGAAGCGUGAGUGACGGUAAUGGGUAAAGAAGCACCGGCUAACUACGUG